rnacentral:misc_RNA from 1 species
GUGGCAAAAGUUGCUGAUUUUGGUCUUUCUCAGUCAGGCCUUCCUGAUCCAGACCCUUGCAGAAUGGGUCUGAUAGGAAGCUUCGGUUAUCUUGAUCCUGAAUAUGUGAGAACUCUUCAGUUAACUGGUAAGUCCGAUGUAUACUCCUUUGGCGUGGUACUUCUUGAAGUGCUUUGUGCUCGACCUCCUAUUGUGAACUCCAUCAGGAGAGGAAAUAAACUUAGCUGAAUGGGGGAUGUUUUGGCAAAAGAAAGGAGAAAUAGAAAAGAUUGUUGAUCCUUCAUUGGCUGGGCAUAUUAAUCCUAACUCAUUGAGAAAGUUCGGUGAGAUAGCUGAGAAGUGUAUGCAGAUAGAAGGGGCUAACAGACCUACAAUGCUUGAUGUCUGUUGGGACUUGGAAUAUGCACUGCAGCUACAACAAACUGCAGUGUCCAGAGAAACAUACUAGGACAGCACGCACAACAGAUGUUUCAUCAUAUUUUGUAAUGAAUCCGAGUUAUAACAGUUUCCCCAAUGACGAAGGUCCUGUUCUCCCUCCCAAUCAAUGAUUUAUGAUCCCAGAUAAUCUCCACAAUCAGAAUUUAGAUGACCAAUGUCUAGUGUCUGUCUACUACAUUGUGUGCGUGUGUAUAUAUAUAUAUAUAUAUA